AAACACUACAUACAGAAUAAAAAAAAUACCAAGAAGAUAAGAUGUCGAUUUUCUGGGUUUUCUACAGUGGAGGAAAGAUGGUUCUCUACCUGGUGUUUUUGUACAUGGACAAUGAUCUGAAGAAAUACUUCAGAGCUUCCGUCAAACUGAAGAGAACCUCCCCAUCAAAACAGUCAAGGUAUAAAUACAUCAAAGCUUCCGUCAAACUGAAGAGAACCUUCCCAUCAAAACAGUCAAGAGCUUGAUGUACCAACUCUGCAAAAGCAUUGCUUUCUGCCACAGUUAUUGUGCGCUACACAUGGUUAUUUUUUAGCUAAAAGGAGGCGAAAAUCAAAUCUCGUUUGAGUGUCUUCUCUAGUCAUAUAUGGAGACACAAAAUGAGGUCUCCUUUUUGGAGGCCCAAAAACUGGUGCUUGGUUGGAGUGCUUUCUAUAUCCACUUUGUAGCUAUGGAGAGUGGACAAAUCUUAAAAUCCCAAACUUUGUCAGUGAUGCUGACUAACCACACAUCGCUGUUUUGCAGUCCGGAGGAGGCAAUCAUGAAUUCUCAGAUUCUCAAUUCGCUCGAUGAGAAAUUAAAACUUGCUUGCCUCCGAUCAUGUCUUUGCAUUGGGGAGUCUAGAGCCCUAGCAAUAGCCAACAUGGUUCUUGGGCUGUAGGAAAUUCAAAUUCGGGGAGAAACCCAUGCAAAUGUUGAUUACACCAUUGACCUAAUACACGCUUCAGAUUACAGAGAAAAUAACAUACACACAGGCUGGUCCGGACAGUAGAAUAGCGAUGUGAGUUCGUUCAGACAGGCCACCUUGUUAUCUAUCCGUGGUUGGAGGUGGUUUUUAUAAAGCAUCUACUGGCAGUGCAGCUAUGGUAUCAGAGUAUUUUGGUUAUCUUGAAAAAGGGCAAAUCCCUUGUAAGAUUGAUAUGGUGAGAGGAGGACCAAGAAGCUAGAGAUUGAGAAUGAAUGGCUCAGAGAUUGAGGCAGAGAUACAUACUCUACGUG